AUACAUGCAAGUCGAACGAACUUCCGUUAAUUGAUUAUGACGUACUUGUACUGAUUGAGAUUUUAACACGAAGUGAGUGGCGAACGGGUGAGUAACACGUGGGUAACCUGCCCAGAAGUAGGGGAUAACACCUGGAAACAGAUGCUAAUACCGUAUAACAGAGAAAACCGCAUGGUUUUCUUUUAAAAGAUGGCUCUGCUAUCACUUCUGGAUGGACCCGCGGCGUAUUAGCUAGUUGGUGAGGUAAAGGCUCACCAAGGCAGUGAUACGUAGCCGACCUGAGAGGGUAAUCGGCCACAUUGGGACUGAGACACGGCCCAGACUCCUACGGGAGGCAGCAGUAGGGAAUCUUCCACAAUGGACGCAAGUCUGAUGGAGCAACGCCGCGUGAGUGAAGAAGGGUUUCGGCUCGUAAAGCUCUGUUGUUAAAGAAGAACGUGGGUAAGAGUAACUGUUUACCCAGUGACGGUAUUUAACCAGAAAGCCACGGCUAACUACGUGCCAGCAGCCGCGGUAAUACGUAGGUGGCAAGCGUUAUCCGGAUUUAUUGGGCGUAAAGCGAGCGCAGGCGGUCUUUUAAGUCUAAUGUGAAAGCCUUCGGCUCAACCGAAGAAGUGCAUUGGAAACUGGGAGACUUGAGUGCAGAAGAGGACAGUGGAACUCCAUGUGUAGCGGUGAAAUGCGUAGAUAUAUGGAAGAACACCAGUGGCGAAGGCGGCUGUCUGGUCUGCAACUGACGCUGAGGC
rnacentral:rRNA from 1 species